UACGAAGGGGGCGAGCGUUGUUCGGAGUUACUGGGCGUAAAGGGCGCGUAGGCGGCGAUCCAAGUUAGGCGUGAAAGCCCCGGGCUCAACCUGGGAAUGGCGCUUAAGACUGGGUUGCUCGAGUGCGGGAGAGGUGAGUGGAAUUCCCAGUGUAGAGGUGAAAUUCGUAGAUAUUCGCAAGAACACCAGUGGCGAAGGCGGCUCACUGGCCCGAUACUGACGCUGAGGUGCGAAAGCGUGGGGAGCAAACAGG
rnacentral:rRNA from 1 species